UACGUAGGGAGCAAGCGUUGUCCGGAAUCAUUGGGCGUAAAGCGCGCGUAGGUGGCCCCAUAAGUCCGCUGUGAAAGUCAAAGGCUCAACCUUUGAAAGCCGGUGGAUACUGUGGGACUAGAGUACGGAAGAGGCGAGUGGAAUUCCUGGUGUAGCGGUGGAAUGCGCAGAUAUCAGGAGGAACACCAAUAGCGAAGGCAGCUCGCUGGGACGUUACUGACACUGAGGCGCGAAGCGUGGGAGCGAACAGG
rnacentral:rRNA from 1 species